rnacentral:rRNA from 1 species
GACGAACCGUGCGAACGUUAUUCGGAAUCACUGGGCUUAAAGGGCGCGUAGGCGGGCCGACGAGCCAGGGGUGAAAUCCUCCAGCUUAACUGGAGAACAGCCUUUGGGACCGGCGGCCUCGAGGGGUGCAGGGGCAUGCGGAACUCGGGGUGGAGCGGUGAAAUGCGUAGAGAUCCUGAGGAACACCGGUGGCGAAAGCGGCGUGCUGGACACCUACUGACGCUGAGGCGCGAAAGCCAGGGGAGCGAACGGG